rnacentral:lncRNA from 1 species
ACAAUGGUAAAUCAACUAAACUUGGGGGGAACAGAAUUUUUUGGUUUCUUGCUUUUGCAUAAAAAAAGCUUGUGGCAGCUUGUAAUUUCUCUCUCUCCCUCCCAAUUCUCCGAUCUUGGUCUGCCUCUCUUUCAGCAAAUAUCCUAUACAAUACCACACAAAGCGUCAAAGAUAGGUUAAGACUUAACAAAGCACCGGCGCAUUUACAUACCAGAAGAUUCCCUCAUCUUUCAUUGCAAUUGUUGGGGAGAAAAUCACAUUUAUAGAAUUGUAAGUCUUUUGUUAAUGCUUACCCACCCAUUUUAUGAUAAGAAUUGAAUCCCCUCUGUGUUUAUGCUUUAGUGAAAUUUGUUUAAAUUCUAUUCAAAUUUUUAUUAUGGAAAUUAAUCCUAGCUAAAGCUAAAGUUAGCUUAGAGCAAUUAGCAUGCCAACCCAUAUCCUAAUGUUCACGGGACGGUCGAAAGGUGAAGAUUAAACGUGUCACUCAAUAGUUCACCCAACUGUUGCACAUGUUUGGAUGUUCACAUGAAUCCACAUCGGAAUAAUGUAAAAAUGUUGAUGGGUUAAUAAGUAUGGUGGAACCUUGACCCAAUAGUUUUUGGGUAAGGAGGUGAUCCAACGUGCUUGUUGCCUUGUUGGCACAUUCAAAGUUACACUUCCGAGUGAUCUGAGUUUCAUCAUACAAUUCCUCACAAGCACAAUUGGGCGGACUAUUAAGUGACCUGUUUAAUUUCCAUUGCUGGAUUGCCACUUGUACACUAGGAGAUGCCAGCGUUAUCCCGGGAUCAUUCCCCAUUAUUACUAUGCAGUUUAAUUACUCUUUUGCUGUAAUGAAAUGUAUAGAUACUAGUCAAUUCACCAUUUUUUUUAUUGUAUAGUCGAAAAGUGCUCAUGAAGAGCAAUAAUGGAUCAUUGGAAUUGAAAUAAGAACAGUUGUAUUAGUUCUGUUACUAUAUGUUUAGAAGGAAAGCAUCUAGCUUUUUUAAUCAUGAUGCAAGAAUUUUAUAAUUAAGAAAGUGACGUUCAACAUUUUUUUAGGAUUUAAUACAUUGUAUAAAUAUUAAUUAUAUAUUUAUGAUGUUAUGGUUCACCCAACUGCUAAACUGCUGGACGUCAUAGUUUCUUAUAUAUUUACUUUUAGCUUGUGGGGAAAAUUUGUAGCUUUUUUUAAGAGUUGAGUAAAUUUCUGCGUUGUUUGUUUGUGUUUGCAGUUUGUAGAAUCUGCUCCACGUGAAUUGCUUUGAGACUUUGUACUAGUUGGGACUUGGGACGUGUGUCAACUUCAAAAUAUGGAGAACGGGAACAUGGGUAACCAAACCGAGAGCUUAACAACUGCAACAGAUGAUAUUGAAAUCCCAGGUAAUAUAUCAGAACUCCAGAAAUUUGUUUUGCCUCAACUAUAUCAGCAUGUUAUUUAUUUGUUUAUUUAUUUCUGGUAAGUUCGGCAUUUUGUGACGUAUGAGAUAAUUUCAUUUAUUUUUAAGUGCCUCACACAUGACAUUAAACCUUUCACAAAUUUAUACUUGUUUUACUUAUUUGUUCUUUAUUUCUUUAUCUUUUAAUUCAUUAUUAAUGUGCAACACAAUUUUAAUUAUCUAAAAUCUUUUCUUGUUUUUGUGUUAGUUUUUGUUUGAGAAUUGAAUUGUUAUUUUGUUAUCUUUGUAGACCGAACCUCCUCCAUGAACCAUAAUAGAGUGAUGGUGUGCACCUACCAAACACUCAAUAUGACAAGAAAGUAGCUCUCUAUUUUUCAAAUUAAGGCUCUAAUCAAUUCGAGAAUCACGAAGAAACUCAAAAUUAGCUCUCAAUAGAUUACUGAAAGAAUAAGAAGUGGCACUAGUGUUUGUAUCUUUCUGCAGUACACUUUCUGAGCUUUAUCAGUUUUUCCACUACCAAAAUAAAAAGGUUCUUCUCCCGUUUAUAGUAGGAGAAUACAAGAAGUUAACAGUUUGAACUUGGACCAAUCGAAUAUCUCGACUGGCAAAUAGCAUAUGAUUUAUUUGAAUAAGUUUUUUACUCGUUUCAAACUUCAAAGUCAUUUUAGGUAGUGGAAAACUUGAGCAACCUACUUGUAGUAAUUUACUACUCCCUCCGUCUCAGGAUAAAAGUCUUGGUGGAUUUUUCACGCAUAUUAAGAAGAAGAAUAAAAUGACAAAAUUGUCCAUAAUAAUGUCAUUAAAUAUGGAGAGAGAAUUAGAAUAAGAAAAGUAUGAGAUAUUUAAUGCUACGGCAUAAUAGGAAAAAAUGUGUAAAAGUUUGGUUAUUAAAAAAAAGUGGACAUUUAACAUGGGACUACCCAAAAUAGUAAUAAGGACUUUUAUCCUGGGACGGAGGGAGUACAAGACAACAUGCCAUGUAAAAGUCGAGCUUAUUUUUGACAAACACAUGAUCUAUCAUAUGGACGUGUUGUAAAAUAUGCUUGUAAUAAGUAAAUUGAACACCAAGAUUUACGUGGAAAACCCAAUUAGAAUAGACCACGAUAGAAAUACAACUUGUAAUCACUUACUAUCUCUAUUGGGAUAUAUCAUUUUCUUUCUUCUAAUCUGUCUCUUUAUUAGGAGAAGAUGAGUCUUAUUUAUAUGACUUUUCACUGCCUCUAUCUGUGUGUGAAAAUGGACAUAGUAAAAGCCUCAUUCUUUGAUAUUAUAGAUGUGGGCAAUCACAUACCCAUUUUGUCCUUUUAUAAUACUCCCCCUUGAUUGCCCACUACAAGGAAAAACAUGUUACUCUUUUACAUGUAUCUGCGUUCUUUAAUUUGCCGGUCAACAAAAAUCCAGUGGGAUAAAAAACUGAAUGAAAGAAAAAAAUUAUAGUCACCCCCUGAAAUGUAUCCAUUACUGUUUGAUGCCUUGAUGCAGUAAAUCUUUAAUUCGGCACAUUCCAAUCUUAUUCUGCAAUUUUUCAGAAGUUGCAUUUGACCAUUACUUUGUGAAUAAAUCUGAAUCCAAAGACAUGAAUAUAUGUUGAUGACAUACUCAUAUAGGUAGGUCAAACAUGAGAAUUAUAUACACAGUAAUUUGCAAGUUCCUCUCAACCCGCUUUAGCAUGAAAGAUCUUGGACUUGCUGAUACAAUCUCGGGGAUCAAGAUUAUUAGAACAGAAUCUAACAUUGCUUUGUCUCAGUCACAUUACAUAGAGAUUAAGUUGAACAAGUAUGGAUUCUUUGAACUUCUUGAGUUGAGGAUACCAUAUGAUAAUAAGAAGUUUCGAUUGAAUACUGGAGAAACUGUGAAACAGUACGAGUAUUCCAGGAUAAUAGGUAUGGAAUGAGCUGUACAAGGCCGGAUAUUGGAUUUGUUGUAGGAAUGUUUAAUAGAUUUUAAGCAUCCAGGAAAAGAACAUUGGGAGGCAAUUCAGAGACUUAUGAGGUACUUUAAAGGCACUCUCAUCUAUACUUUAUUUGUUUUGGAUGUCCUACAGUUGUCAAAGGCUUCUCAGAUGCAAGUUGGUGUUCAGAGCCAAACGAAUGUAGAUCAAUAGGUGGAUAUGGAUUCACCUUAGGAGAUACCGUUGUCACAUGGAAGUCUAAGAAAUAUACUAUAAUAGCUUAGUAAUCAAUGGAAGCUAAGAUUUUCACUCUGGUUAGUGCAAAAGAUGAGGUUAAAUGGCUAAAAGAUUCUCUGAUGGAUCUUUCGUUUGGAAAAUUGCAGCUGCCUGCAAUUACUAUUUAUUGUGAUAAUCAAGAGCAACGACUAAUGUGGCUAAGAGCUUGCUAUUCAACGAAAGAAAGGAAUGUUCUUAAGCAUGGUUAUCUUAAUGAGUUGAUAAACUGAGGAGUCAUUGCAAUGAACAUUGUGGAUUCUAUGAUGAAAGUUCUAAAACUGGAAUUGAUCUAGAAGACACGAGCAAGAAUAGGCCUCAAGCCUACGCAAGGGUAGUAAAUUGUAUUUAAAUCUACCAUUGAAUUACAUUAAAUGGAUCAAAGACUUGUCUAUCUAUUGAUGUGAUUCUUGGUUUAAGGAAUCAAAUACAAUUAUACUAUACUAUAGUGUUGUACUUUAAAUUCAAAUGAGCCUAUUCUAUAUAUAGUGCAAUUUUCUAUCAUUAGUGAUGGAUGGAAUGAAGGAUAAAUAUCAUAUAGAUAAUUUUCACACAAAACUUAAUCAAUUAAUCAUUCAAUGUAUCAAAAUAAUGAAGUACAUCACUAUUUAUAAUACUCUUAGACAACUUUCCCAACCUAACUUGGACUCUAAUAAGAUAACUACAAAUUAAAUAAGAUAACUGCAAAUCAAAGAAACUAAACAACUUAUAAUUCUUGGACUUCCAAAGCCUCUUGUAUUGUUCUAACCAACUCUCGCGGGUUCGUCCUACAUCAGUUCUCCUCUGAAAAAGACUCGACUCCGUCGAGUUAUGAACAUCAAUACAAAGAACAAUCACGUCGGAUCACCAAGGAAGUCUUUGCAAGCUUCAAAUUUGGCAUGCCGAGAGCACAAAUAAGAGUGAGUUUAGUAUUGUCUUUGAUAAUCGAAUAGUUAUUUGUACGAGCAUCAUGCUGCGCAUGAUGAUCCCAUAGCCAUUUACGCCCAAUAACGUGACACUAUAACGUGACAAAUCUUAAGGGGUAGAACAUCACACAUAACGGUAUCCUUGAACUUGCCUACGAAAAAUGUAACCAAAUACCUCUGGGUAACCCGCAACCUUGUAUUGGUAAUCCAUGCAAUAUCAUACGGUUCCGGGUGAGACUCAACUUUUAACCCAAGUUUCUUAACUGCUUCCUCAGAGAUAACAUCCGUACAACUCCCAAUAUCAAUCACAAGAGAACACAUAUGUCCCGUAUAUAUGACUCUCGUCUGAAAAAUUCACCCACGAUGGAUUUUAGGAUCAUCUUUAUGUUUUUGGGCAACAAGUAAAGGUCAAAAAACACCUAAACAUCCUUUUAAAUGAGCAUCAACUUCCAAAUUUUACUCAUCGGGCUCAUAUUUGAUGUCUAACGGCUUACAAACCUCUUCGUUUAAGUCAGUUUCCCACUCUUUUGUCAACAAUAACAAGUUGCAUAGAGAGAAGCGGCAACAUUCAUAUUCGGUGAAGGACACUCAAAAGACAUAUGACCAAAACCACAACAAUUAUAGCACCUAGACGUAUGGUUGUUGUUGGGGUACGAUUAGGCCUGCUAGUAGUUGAAGGGUUUGCUGACGAUCUUUUCACUGGUCUAUUUAAAAUAGGCUCCACAAAAGUACGCUCCCUCCGAGUUUGGACUUGUAUUAGAGGCCUAACAGAAUUCUUUUUCAAAUUAUCGUUUACUUGGGUGGCAACUUGAACAACAUCAUCCAAGAGCAUGAGUUUACCUAAAACUACACCACUUGCAAUCUCCAGAUUUAAUUCUCAACGGUACAUGGAGAUUAAAACUUCUUCAACCCAAGGGAUUUCAGACUGUGUAACCAAGCUAUAGAACAUUGAAGUAUACUCGGCUACAGAUUUACUUCCUUGUACCAACUCAGUUAACUGUAACUAUGCUCACUGCUUAUAAUCUGAAGGUACAAAACGUCGUGUCAAUGCGGCUUUCAUAUCUUCCCAUCUUAUCGCAGCUGUAUAUAAAUUUCGCUAAUGUUAAUCCCACCAAAUACGAGCUAUCCCUUUCAAUUUCGCUUCAACAAAGAACAAUUUUUUUUGAAAAAAACUCUCCAAGCUGUGAAUCCAAUCGAAGAAUGUUUCGGGACCAUUAUCGCCAUUGAAAUCUCUAACAUCUAAUUUUGGUCCUCUAUCCAUUGCAUUCAUCCUGGAAUUUGGAACAUGAGGAUUAACUUGUGGAUUAGGGUUAUGCUGAUGUAGUCUUAGAUGAUUAAGAUCCGGGAUGGGGUAUUCAAAAUUCUUAUGAGCAUUUUCUUGUUCUUUAUCUAUGCAUUCCGUUAGUACAUCAACUUUUACUGUAAGGACUGUAAUAGAAACCUGAACAUUUACCGCCUUUGAAGUAAGCGUUGUGAUUGAAUCUUCAAUCCUUUUGAGACGCUCAUCUUGUUGUAACAUAUAAGAUCAAGUUUGGCGUUGAUUUCUUCCGCAUUUACCAUGGUUCCUGCAAAUAAAAAUAUAGCUUUUUAUUUUUAUUUUUUAAAGGACUUGGGUGCAGAAAAUUUCAAGAAACAAGGUUUGAACUGUAUAUAAUAAAAUUUUAGGGGCUGAAAGUGUAACAGAUAAAAGUAUAGGGGUAUGUAAAAUUUCAGGGGUAUUUUAAAAUUUAAGAAAACUUGGGUGACUAAACUAGAAAACUAUAAAAACUUUGGGAUACCUAACUGUAAUUUACCAUGAAAUAAGUUUUCUUUAGGUCUUUGUUUCUCUGCUUCCUUUUUAUUUUCUGCUUCAAGGAGAGCAGCAAGCUUGAGGAGGAAAGGCUAGGACGCAGCGACGGUGAUGGUGGUGAUGCAGUGACGGUUUCUUUCUACUUCUUCCCUUUCUCUCUUCUCCUACCUUUCUCUUCGUGUACCUUUCUUUUUUUGUUGAUCUGUUUUGAAACAGAAAAGGUGGGCUGCAAUCUAGGGUUCCUUGAUUUGGAUGGGACUGAAAUUUGGGGAUUAUGAAAGUUAACAAUGGUAGUACGUUGUAGGCGAUGAUGUGAUGUUACAUUUUGGGUUUCGGAGAUGGGUUAGGGUUUGAAUAAAGCUUCGUUUGGUUGGCAGCUUUUUUUUAUGAUUACUAUGAUGAUGGGACAAUGAUUUUGGGACAGAGGUAUGGGCGGCAGAACAAGGAUGAUCACAAGACCAUUAAUGUACAAUCUAUGUGGUAACGAUAAGGUGGUAUGGUAGUUCAAGACGUGGUUCACUACACAUAUACAUCAUACACAUCUAUGACAUAAAUAUGACAAGUAAGGGUGUAAACGAGUCGAAUCGAAGCGAACAGAGAGCUGCUCGAAUUCGAUUUGAAAUGAUAAAUUCGUACUCUAAUUGUAUUUGAAAAAAUUUACUCAGAUUCGACUCGACUCGAAUAUUUAUUACUCAAAUUUGAUCCGACUCGGAUCGAAUUAUAUUCAAACAACUCGCGAGCUUUAAAUUCAAGCUCGAAUUCGUGUCUCCACAUAAUAAGUAGUUUUAUAAUAAAUAUAAUUAUAAAUUGAAUUUGUUAUUUUACUUAGAAAUGAGAAAAUAUAUUUACUAUUACACUUUACAAAUAUAAAAUCACAAUUAAAAUUAAAAAUAAAACAAAAUAAUAAUUAAUUAUCCUAAUUUAAUUUAAAUUUGUAUAUAUUAUAAGAGAAUGUAUCGAACAUCUAAUUGAAUAUGUAUCAAUCGAGUAUGUAUCGAAUCACAAUCAAUAAUUCGAGUAGUUUGAAUCUUAAACGAGUCGAGUAUAACCUUGCUCAGAUUCUACUCAUAUUUUUAUUCGAACUAUUUUUAAUGCUCAGAUUUGGAUCAUAUUAUUAACGAAUUCGAGUCUCGCUCGUAUUUUUUCGAGUCGAGCCCGAACUGUGUGGCUCAUUUACAACCUUAAUGAGAAUGUUAAGAUAGUAUGGUAGCUCAAGACGGUUAAUUAUGUAUACUCGUUUGGAAUUAGUUUUUAUGUGAUCUUUAAUGGAUUGUGAAAAAAUUACUUCAAGAUUGUGUUCAUUAUAAACCUCCACUCCUACUUUGAUUGAUCUAACUAGAGAUUCAAGUCUGCGAGAUGUACUAAAGUUCUCUUAUUGCAAAUAAGGCUAAAUGCUUUCAAUUAGUUUUAAUUAAAAUUUGUCAGGGAUUGUUUGUUUAUUUCGAUAUUUCAUGUGAUAGAUCAUAUGUUUGUCAGAAAUAAACUUAACUUUCACAUGACUGAAUAUUGUCUUGUAGUAAAUUGUUACAAGUAGGAUGCUCGGGUUUCCACUGCCAACAGCGACUUUGAAGUAUGAAACAAGUAAUUAACUGAUUCAAAUAAAUCAUGCUAAUUGUCAGUUGAACUUUUCGAUAUAGUUGUCAUGGCGUCACCUAGACGACUAGGCGUCCUGGAGCUAGAGAAGAACAAGGCAACGCCUUGGGCGCCGAUCCACUAAGGCUGACGCCUUGGUAGUUGGCCAUUAAGUCAUUUUGUACCUAUGACUCAUCAUAACCCGUGGACUUGCCACAUGGUGUAAUUUUUAUUAUUUAUUAGACUUGUAAUGUUUGAUGAUUGUUGACUUGGUUAAUCCUUUAUUCUCUACGUAGUAUUUGUUAACUUAUUCUUCUAGUUUUCAAAGUGAAGUUGAUGUAGGACAUAUUUAGGAUGAAGAAUUAAUGGAAAAUAAACUAUUAUUUAAAAUCCACGUUUAAACCUUGUUCUACAUAUUAUUGAUAUUGAAGUUAGUUAUUUUAUCCAUACCGUUGAGGUAUUUUAUUCAUCUUGUCUCUUGAUGUUGAUACGCAGAGUUGAUACACUUGAGAGAUCCUAGUAGUUUAAACGUAGAGUUUAAUUCCUAGUUUAUUUUUCAUUAAUUCUUCAUCCUAAAUUUUUCCUACAUCAACAAGUCAUUUAGACUACAUACUUGUUAUUGAAGUUGUAAUUUUCCAAGGUAAUCUUGUUCAUCAACUAUAUCCUAUCUAAGCUCUUCCUGCUAUGACCACAUGUAUUAAUAAGGUAGUAAAUUCGGUCACUUUCAUUAUCAAGAAACCAAAUAUACUCUUUUGCUUCAACAAUCAAUUAUUUAGUGUUUGGAGACAUUGGGUGUUUGGGACAAUGGGUUAUAAAGUAAAUAAAUAAAAUAAAACCUUUUUUUAUGACUUAAGGGCGUAACUGAAAAGAAAAUAGAAAAUAUGGGCUAAAGUAUGAAUGCAGAAAGUGUAGGGGCUGAUUUAAAAUGAUAAAAGGGUAUAAGUGAAAAGUACAUAAAAUACGGGCUAAAACUGAAAUAUUAGAUGAAACUAUGGGGGAACAAACUGUAUUUUUGGUAAGAUAUUUAGAAGUUAGAGAUUAGGGUUACACUCCUCUUGUUCCCUAAAGUAAGGCAGAGCAGUAGCAGCAAGCCAAGCCUUUUGUCUUUUUUUUUUUUUUUUUUUUCAGUGAACCACGAUGAAUAGUAACUCUGACGAUGAACAGUAACUCCGACAGCAAUGAUGUAGGAUAGAUUUAGGAUGAAGAAUUAAUGAAAAAUAAACUAGGAUUUAAACUUCACGUUUAAACCACUAGGAUCUUUCAAGUGUAUCAACUCCACGUAUCAACAUCAAAUUGAUAAAAUACCUCUACGGUAUGAAUAAAAUAAUCAAUUUCAAUAUCAAUAGUAUGUAGUCUAAAUGACUUCUGGGGAUUAUUACAUCACUAUUUAAAGAGACAAAACCCUAAUAUUACUUGGGAAUAAUAAAAGUAUUAAACGACUAAAAUACCUUUAUUAAUAAUUCCUAAUCACUAAUUAAUGUCCUAAAUCCCCAUUAAUAAAUAAAAUACAUAAAUCACAUCAACUACUUUUAUAUUAAACAUAAUAAAAACUCCGAAUAAUAAAUAUAAAAAAUAUCUUCUUUGUUCUUGACAUAAAGUCCCCAUCAUAAGUGUUUUGUUUUUGAAUUUUAAUUGUGAAAUAUUCAUAUAAUUGUGUUUUUAAUUGUAUUCCUAUUCCAUAGUGUUAGUUAUUAUGGUUUGAGUUUAAUGUAUAUUAAAUUUUAUCGUCGAAUAUGCUUUUGAAGUAAAACAAAUAAAGUAUAAAUUGUACCUUGUUAACGACUUGACGCCUUAUUGCCUAGGUGUCCUGGCAGUCAACUUCCGUCGUGUCUCGUCGUGACGACUUUGCUUUUCGACUAGUCUAAGUUCAUAUUGUUAACUUCUUGUAUUCUUCUACUAUAAAAGUGAUACGGUACAUAAGAAGAAAUUCAAUAAGUUUAUUAUUAAUUUUAUAUUGUUAUUUAAAGAUAAAUGUUGAGUUAUUAGUGAAAUUAGUUUGUAUGAUAUUAUAGUAGUAGCUUUUCAUUAGGAGAGUUUUAAUUUUAGUAGUAGAUUUCAAUUAGGAGAGUUUAUUAUAGUAGUAGAUUUUAGUUAGGAGAUUGUUUCCUUUCUAAGUUAGGGUUUUUACUUAAUCCCCAAGUAUUGGAUUUUCUAUUUAAGCAUUGUAAAACUUCAUUAUUUUUAGAGAUUAUUAUAUGAAUUGAUUUGAAAUUAAAGUUGUGUACUUUUUCUGUGUGUUUCUUUAUCGAUUCUCUGCGGAGAUAGGUACUCUUAUUCCUUCUUCUCACCUUGUCCUACAUCAUAAUGGUAUCAAGAGUCAAAAUUCUUGAUAUCUUUUGAUUUCACCCACUUCCUACCUUAUUUUUUUGGUCUCCAUCUAAUUGUCGAAUUUGCUAGGGAAUCGUCAACAAUUUUUCGAGAUGAAGGCAUGAUCGUCUUCGUAGUCUCAAUCUAUCAUUAAAAAAAAUUCAGUGUUACUUUUCGUCGCUACAGUACGCGACGCUGUUCAUCAAAUUUCUUGUGUUCCUUCUACCAAAUUACAGUUUGGUACCCCCAAGUUUUUGAAAUUUUCAAAUCAGUCCCUUACGUUUAUGAAAUUUUCAAUUCCUCCCCCAAAGAUUCUAAAACAUUCAAUUCAACCCCUAAAAUUUCUAAAAUAUUCAAUUUAGCCCCCCCAUUAUUUUUGAGUUUUCAAUUUAACCUCCAAAAUUUUUGAAAUUUUCAAUUCAGCCCCUCUACAUAUAUAUAAUGUCUCCAGAUUUAACAAUCCAAAAUUUUCUGUGGGCUAAGAUAAAACAAUUUUAGCAUCGAACUUUGGUCAUAUACGAACAACUUAAAAGGUCUUGUGUCCCGUAUAGUGCCGAGUAUUGGAAAUUAUGCGAUGAGCUUGCAUUUUCUGAAACAAGUCUUGCAAAUUUAAAGGCAUAUUACGAGUACAUAACCACAUGCUUUGUUUGUCUGUAUUUUGUUGAAGCACAAAAAAGUGUUAUCCUAAUCGUGUUUGUUCAACUAAAGUGCCAAGUUCACAAGAGGAGGAGACUCACAAAGUAAAUUCUUACAAGACAAUUGAUGAAUGUCUCAUAAUAUUUAAACAACGUAUCAAUAACCAAAAUGAAAUUGGUGAGCAAUGUUCUAAAAGGCGCUAGGCGGGCGGCCGGGGGGCCUAGGUGGAGUCUGAACGGGGAUUAGGAGGAAUUUUUUAUUUUAAGCCAAUUUUAAUAUUUUAUCUUACAUUUAUCCAAACAAAACAAUAAUAUAAAGCAAAACAAUCUAUAAUAAAGAUAAUAAAUGUCUUUGCUUAAAGUUCAAACACAUCCAUAUUGCUAAUGUCAAAAUUCAAAUACAAAUAUGCAAUUGUUCAAAGUUCAAACAUAUUUUUAACGUAUUAGUUUUAUUCAUAAACAAGAUUGCUAUUAAAUAAUAAAUUUUAAAAUUUUAAGAAUUUAAUUCAAUAUUAAAACUUAAGAAACUAAACAUAAAUUUAAGAAUUAUAUUAAAUUAAACUAAAUAUUACAAAUGUAUCAUCAUUUAUAUAAUUUGAAGUUGGUACAAGUUCAAAAAAUUAUAACUAUAAUAAAAUUAUCGAUUUUGGCUUGAUAUUGUUCACUUUUUGUUGUGAUUUGAUAUGCUAUAACCUGUAUUAUGAAUAGGGUAAAUCAUUAGAAAAAUAAAUAUAUCAAGAUUUGGUUUGAAUAGUUAUUAAACAAACAAACCUCUCCGCCUAGACCCUGCCUAGGUCUCGCCCGCCUUGGGCCUAGGUGAGGCGCCAAGGGGGGCCUAGCUCCUAGGCGGGGAGCCAAGGGGGCCCUAGCGCCUAGGCGGAGAUUUUUAGAACACUGUUGGUGAGGAUAAAAAAGAGCAAGUACUCUCACAUAUUGAUGUUUGUGAGAAACAUGAAGCGGAAGUAAAGUGUGUUGAACAACUUGUAGAUUCAGAGAUGUUUUGCAGUAAGGAAAUUGAAAUUAAGUUUGACCUCAAAUGCGAAAACAUCAAGGAAGAUAAAGUUGAGGUCAACCAUGUUGAUUUCUCUUUUCAGUUGGUACAUUUGAGUCCCAAGCUACUUCAAAUUUCUAUAAUAUGUCAUUGUUAUUCCCAAAAAUUGUGCUCAUGACAUUAGAACAUCGGAUGCGAAUAUUUUGUUGGAAGACAUCUUUUGGACCGUGGUUUAUUAUUCUACGAUAUUUCAAAAUUCGAGGACGAGUUUUUUUCAAAGGCGAGGAGAAUGAUGCGGUACGGAAGAAGAAAUUCAAAAAGUUUAUUAUUAAUUUUGUAUUGUUAUUUAAAGAUAAAUGUUGAGUUAUUAAUGAAAUUAUUUAGUAGGAUACUAUAGUAGUAGCUUUUCAUUAGAAGAGUUUUAAUUGUAGUAGUAUAUUUUAAUUAGGAUAGUUUAUUAUAAUAGUAGAUUUUAGUUAGGAGAUUGUUUUUCUAAGUUAGGGUUUUUACUUCCCAAGUAUUGAGUUUUCUAUUUAAGCAUUGUAAUACUUCAUAAUUUUUAGAGAUUAUUGAAUGAAUUGAUUUGAGAUUAAAGUUGUGUGUUUUUUUACCGAUUCUCUGCAGAGAUAGGUACUCUUAUUCCUUCUAUCUAUCUCGUUCAACAUCAAAAAGGGAACAUAACCUUUUAGUUUUGGACCCUUUGGUAGUGGAAAAAUUUAGAGCUAAUUUUGAGUUUCUUAGUGAUUCUCAAAAUUAUUAGAGCCUUAUGUUGGAAAAUAGAGAGUUACUUUCUUGUCUUAUUGAUUGCUUGGUAGGGUUGAAUAACGUCUUAAGCAGUAGCAUUUUUUCUAAACGGGCAAGAACUGUGUUUUAGAAUAAAUUUCGUUUUGAUCUUUCCUUGUUAUUAAAUUUUGCAGUUAUUCAAUUAGUUAUUUUUCAAUUGUUCCAACAAUUCAAGUGGGAGUGUUAUAAAUAGGCAAAAUGGGCAUGUGAUUGCCUACAUCUAUAAUGUCAAAGACAAUGACUUUUACUAUAUCAGUUUCCACAUGCGGAUAGGGUCCUAUAAAUAGUCCUCAUCUUCUCCUAAUGAAGAUGCACAUAUGAAGAAAGAAACAAAGUUAUAGUAACAAGCAAGAUAUCCCAACGGAGAUUGUGAGUGAUUACAAGUUGUAUUCUCAAAUAAUUUCGUGGUUUUUUCAGUUGGGUUUUCCAUGUAAAUCCUCGUGUUCAAUACUUAUUACAAGAAUAUUUUACAACACAUGAACUAUUUUUUAUCAACUGAUAGGGAUCGUUCCUUUAGGUGUCGACGUGUAUGAUUUCUUAUUUGUGCUAUUUUAUUUUUCCAGACUUAAGAUUUAAGUAAUACUCCCUCCGUCUCAGGAUAAAAGUCCUUAUUACUAUUUUGGGUAGUCCCAUGUUAAAUGUCCACUUUCCUUUAAUAACCAAACUUUUACACAUUUUUUCCUAUUAUGACCGUAGCAUUAAAUAUCUCAUACUUUUCUUAUUCUAAUUCUCUCUCCAUAUUUAAUGACAUUAUUAUGGACAAUUUUGUUAUUUUAUUCCUCUUCUUAAUAUGCGUGAAAAGUCUACCAGGACUUUUAUCCUGGGACGGAGGGAGUAGUAAUUAUUGUCUUAUUGGGAUAUUUUAGUCUUUAUUUCUUUUCUUGGGUCCAACGUCCAAACUAGGGUUUGUUCUCUAUAAAUAUGAAUGUAAUUGCCAGACUCAUUCCCCUAUUGAUUAUUAUUAUUGAGACAUAAUUAUUAUUGAUUGAGAUCAAUUUACUCUACUACGGUCGAGAAUCCUAGGGGUAGUGGAGUGCUGAGCCCCACCCUAGACCCUAGUUAUAGUUUUUUCCUUUGUUUUCCAGCAAUUGUUUUUUUACAAGUAUUGUCCUACAUCAUCUAAGAAUUAUUUUCUCAUUUUGGAGUUCUAAUUAUUAUCUCCUUGCACGCAUUCUGAUUAAACACCAUAAUGGUGAUAUGCUUGCAACUCAUAAUUGUUGAAUUUGCCUUAAAACAUGCAUAGAAAUUUUUCAUUCAACUUGCAUAUUCUGAUUCAGUGAAGAAGCG